GUUGUAUGGUUAAGUGACUAAGCGUAGACGGUGGAUGCCUUGGCAGUCAGAGGCGAUGAAGGACGUACUAACCUGCGAAAAGCGAUGGUGAGCUGGUAAGAAGCAUUUGAGCCAUCGAUGUCCGAAUGGGGAAACCCACCUGCAUAAGCAGGUAUCUUAGCGUGAAUACAUAGCGCUAAGAGGCGAACUCGGGGAACUGAAACAUCUAAGUACCCGAAGGAAAAGAAAUCAAUUGAGAUUCCGGCAGUAGCGGCGAGCGAACCCGGAGCAGCCCUUAAGCGGCUUAGGCGUUAGGUGAACAGGUUGGAAAACCUGGCAAUAAAGGGUGAUAGCCCCGUAACCGACGGCGCCUUAGACGUGAAAACGAGUAGGACGGGACACGUGAUAUCUUGUCUGAACAUGGGGGGACC
rnacentral:rRNA from 1 species